UAUGUUUCUUUCGUCAGACAUUCACAACACAACGCUGUGGAAAGCUGGGGAUCUAGUGGAGUCCAAAAACAUUAGCGUGUUCAAAAACAGAAAACCCAAAGCCCCUAAAGUCACUUCAGUGAGAAGAGAAAAUGGGGAUUAUCGGGUUGAGUGGGACACAAACUAUAAAGAACCCAUCUUCGGAAUGACGGCCGUGGUGACCUACCGCAGACCAGGAGAGGAAGGCACGGAAGUCAACGUUUCGUCUGGGAGACUGUAUUGCAUUUUGGAGUUCCUGCAGCCGAGCACGUAUUACGUGGUCAACGUGAGGAGUGUCUUGUCGUUCGACAGUGAAAGUAGUGAUGACUUCCCAUUCCACACCCGUAAGUUCUAAACCCUAAGCCAACUCCGGUCCCCAUCUAUUGGGCGACCCUCUCCUUUGCUUUUCCUGCUGUUCUUAGCUACACCCAUCUCCAUCUCCACCUGUCCGUCUCCGGGUCUAGGCGGGUAUGCUGAGUAUUAUUGGAUAGCAGCCCAAAAUAUGUAUAUUUGUGCAUCUUGUUAGCGGUAACGAACAUGCCAGCGUGCUGUCAAUUUAGCCAUUCUCUAUAGUGAAUGAAGAAAUGUAAUGAGCUAGUGGCUGGCGAUCAUGGAAGAGCACGGAUGUAUCUCUCAUAUAGGUUAUAUAUUUUGUGCUUCCUCAGCCGUUUCUUCUGACACUAUUUUGGUGGUGAUCAUCCUCAGCCUGAGUGUUGCUGCUGUGAUCAUCACCAGUUUCCUGCUACAUCUCAUCACACGGUUAAAAACGAAGUUGUGGUAUAACGUUGGCAAAUACAAGAACUCCACCCUUCUAGAUAUGGUACCAGUAGAGCACAAGGUACUAAUGCCUCAGAAUCCUGCCCUGUGCUCUGUCUAUGUUGACUCCCCUAAAGAGGUCAAAGAUGACACAAUCACAUGCAGCCCCUGGGUAUACUCCCAUCAAAGCUCUAGAGCUGACUGCGUGUCCUCCUCUCUGGGGAACUCUCAGAAGGUCUCUGCGGACAUCGUCUCCAGCAUGGAGGACGCCAUGCGUAAGGCCCUCCCCGAGGUCUCCCUGCCUUCCACCACGGCUCCCUGGCUCUUCAUGGGCCACAGCAACCCGGGCUACAAUCGAGUCCCUGGGACCCCAACCCUGGGCUUCUUUGAAAUCUUAAACUAUUCCAUGGCUCCUCCUUUUAGGACCCAGGGGUUGAACGGUGCCCUGCCUGCAGUGCUUAGGGAGUCCUUGCUCAAUCCCAGCAUGUUGAGGGAUGCAUCGUACGACCCCAGUCCAGAUUUCCAGGUGCCUAUUUUCCAGCUGACUAGACAGAGGCAGCCUUUAGUAAGUAGACAGGAUUCAUCCUACAUGAAAAGAGAUCAUUCGAUGAGCUCAUUCCCAACAGAUGGUCUGCAGGUAGACCUUGAGUACAGCCCUUCUCGAAGCGUGGCCACUUCUACCUCCAUCUUGUGUGGCGUUGGCUCCUCCGUGUCUAGUGUUUGUUCAACAGGAGCACUUCGGCGCGAGACCUUGAACGCGUCGCACCUAGGCCGAGCAGCUAGCCUGAUGGAACAUGUUUACGGCCAAGAGGAACCGUCUGUGAAAGUCUGUGGUUCAAAUCUGUGUGAAGAGCCUCGCCCUGCCCCUGCUUGCAGCCUGGUUCCCGGGGACGAUGACUAA
rnacentral:lncRNA from 1 species